rnacentral:rRNA from 1 species
AUUGAACGCUGGCGGCAGGCCUAACACAUGCAAGUCGAACGAGUGGCGGACGUGUGAGUAAUGUCUGGGAAACUGCCUGAUGGAUGGGGAUAACUACUGGAAACGGUAGCUCAUACCGCAUACCAUCAGAUGUGCCCAGAUGGGAUUCGCUAGUGGGUGGGGUAACGGCUCACCAAGGCGACGAUCCCUAUCUGGUCUGAGAGGAUGACCAGCCACACUGGAACGGAGACACGGUCCAGACUCCUACGGGAGGCAGCAGUGGGGAAUAUUGCACAAUGGGCGCAAGCCUGAUGAAGCCAUGCCGCGUGUAUGAAGAAGGCCUUCGGGUUGUAAAGGACUUUCAGCGGGGAGGCGUUACCCGCAGAAGAAGCACCGGCUAACUCCGUGCCAGCAGCCGCGGUAAUUC